rnacentral:rRNA from 1 species
CGACUUACCAAACCGAUUCAAACUCCGAAUACCUACAAGUGCCGAGCAUGGGAGACACACGGCGGGUGCUAACGUCCGUCGUGAAAAGGGAAACAACCCAGACCGCCAAUUAAGGCCCCUAAGUAAUAGCUAAGUGCGAAACGAUGUGGAGGUGCUGAGACAAUCAGGAGGUUGGCUUAGAAGCAGCCAUCCUUUA